rnacentral:rRNA from 1 species
AAAUUGAAGAGUUUGAUCAUGGCUCAGAUUGAACGCUGGCGGCAGGCCUAACACAUGCAAGUCGAACGGUAACAGGAAGCAGCUUGCUGCUUCGCUGACGAGUGGCGGACGGGUGAGUAAUGUCUGGGAAACUGCCUGAUGGAGGGGGAUAACUACUGGAAACGGUGGCUAAUACCGCAUAACGUCGCAAGACCAAAGAGGGGGACCUUCGGGCCUCUUGCCAUCAGAUGUGCCCAGAUGGGAUUAGCUAGUUGGUGAGGUAACGGCUCACCAAGGCGACGAUCCCUAGCUGGUCUGAGAGGAUGACCAGCCACACUGGAACUGAGACACGGUCCAGACUCCUACGGGAGGCAGCAGUGGGGAAUAUUGCACAAUGGGCGCAAGCCUGAUGCAGCCAUGCCGCGUGUAUGAAGAAGGCCUUCGGGUUGUAAAGUACUUUCAGCGGGGAGGAAGGUGUUGUGGUUAAUAACCGCAGCAAUUGACGUUACCCGCAGAAGAAGCACCGGCUAACUCCGUGCCAGCAGCCGCGGUAAUACGGAGGGUGCAAGCGUUAAUCGGAAUUACUGGGCGUAAAGCGCACGCAGGCGGUCUGUCAAGUCGGAUGUGAAAUCCCCGGGCUCAACCUGGGAACUGCAUUCGAAACUGGCAGGCUUGAGUCUUGUAGAGGGGGGUAGAAUUCCAGGUGUAGCGGUGAAAUGCGUAGAGAUCUGGAGGAAUACCGGUGGCGAAGGCGGCCCCCUGGACAAAGACUGACGCUCAGGUGCGAAAGCGUGGGGAGCAAACAGGAUUAGAUACCCUGGUAGUCCACGCCGUAAACGAUGUCUACUUGGAGGUUGUGCCCUUGAGGCGUGGCUUCCGGAGCUAACGCGUUAAGUAGACCGCCUGGGGAGUACGGCCGCAAGGUUAAAACUCAAAUGAAUUGACGGGGGCCCGCACAAGCGGUGGAGCAUGUGGUUUAAUUCGAUGCAACGCGAAGAACCUUACCUGGUCUUGACAUCCACAGAAGAAUCCAGAGAUGGAUUGGUGCCUUCGGGAACUGUGAGACAGGUGCUGCAUGGCUGUCGUCAGCUCGUGUUGUGAAAUGUUGGGUUAAGUCCCGCAACGAGCGCAACCCUUAUCCUUUGUUGCCAGCGGUUAGGCCGGGAACUCAAAGGAGACUGCCAGUGAUAAACUGGAGGAAGGUGGGGAUGACGUCAAGUCAUCAUGGCCCUUACGACCAGGGCUACACACGUGCUACAAUGGCGCAUACAAAGAGAAGCGACCUCGCGAGAGCAAGCGGACCUCAUAAAGUGCGUCGUAGUCCGGAUUGGAGUCUGCAACUCGACUCCAUGAAGUCGGAAUCGCUAGUAAUCGUGGAUCAGAAUGCCACGGUGAAUACGUUCCCGGGCCUUGUACACACCGCCCGUCACACCAUGGGAGUGGGUUGCAAAAGAAGUAGGUAGCUUAACCUUCGGGAGGGCGCUUACCACUUUGUGAUUCAUGACUGGGGUGAAGUCGUAACAAGGUAACCGUAGGGGAACCUGCGGUUGGAUCACCUCCUUACCUUAAAGAAGC